GGGUUAAAUAAAUUAUUUUUAAUUAAUUAUGGAGAAAGGGUCCAGUUGAACAGCACUGAUCGAACCAUAUUGAGUGAACCGAACCAGCCACUAAUUGGGCAGCCCUGAACUGUCCAAUGCUGACCCAAAUCAGCAUUUUAUCUGAUUAAAUAUGCUUGCAAAAAGGCCCUUGAAGAACUUUCAAAAUGCAUUCAAACCUUACCUUUAAUUGUGGCUUUAUGAAAUUGCCCCAAGCCUAAAAUAACAAAAUUGAAACUCUCAACUUUUCCAUGUGUG
rnacentral:lncRNA from 1 species